UUUUUUUCAUCUCACUAAAUUUUAUUUUUAUUCUAUUUAAUAUUUUAUUUUUAAAUAUUAUACAUUAAAAGAAUAAAUUAAUAUUCAAUUGUUUUAUAUUUACUUCACAAUUUAUUCUUUUUUUAUUAGUUUCUUUUAUUUAUUCUUUUUUUAUUAGUUUCUUUUAUUUUAAAUAUUUGAUUAUUAUUAUAUACAAUUUAGAUACUGUUUUUUAAAUAUUAUAGUAUUUAUAAAAAAUAAU
rnacentral:lncRNA from 1 species